GUGCCAGCAGCCGCGGUAAUUCCAGCUCCAAUAGCGUAUAUUAAAGUUGUUGCAGUUAAAAAGCUCGUAGUUGAAACUUGGGCCUGGCUGGCGGGUCCGCCUCACCGCGUGCACUCGUCCGGCCGGGCCUUCCUUCUGAAGAACCUCAUGCCCUUCACUGGGCGUGCUGGGGAAUCAGGACUUUUACUUUGAAAAAAUUAGAGUGUUCAAAGCAGGCCUUUGCUCGAAUACGUUAGCAUGGAAUAAUAAAAUAGGGCGUGCGUUUCUAUUUUGUUGGUUUCUAGAGACGCCGCAAUGAUUAACAGGAACAGUCGGGGGCAUCAGUAUUCAGUUGUCAGAGGUGAAAUUCUUGGAUUUACUGAAGACUAACUACUGCGAAAGCAUUUGCCAAGGAUGUUUUCAUUAAUCAGUGAACGAAAGUUAGGGGAUCGAAGACGAUCAGAUACCGUCGUAGUCUUAACCGUAAACUAUGCCGACUAGGGAUCGGGCGAUGUUCUUUUUCUGACUCGCUCGGCACCUUACGAGAAAUCAAAGUUUUUGGGUUCUGGGGGGAUUAUGGUCGCAAGGCUGAAACUUAAAGAAAUUGACGGAAGGUCACCACCAGGCGUGGAGCCUGCGGCUUAAUUUGACUCAACACGGGGAAACUCACCAGGUCCAGAUGAAAUAAGGAUUGACAGAUUGAGAGCUCUUUCUUGAUUUUUCAGGUGGUGGUGCAUGGCCGUUCUUAGUUCGUGGGUGACUUGUCUGCUUAAUUGCGAUAACGAGCGAGACCUUACUCU
rnacentral:rRNA from 1 species